rnacentral:rRNA from 1 species
UACGAGGGGGGCAAAUGUUGUUCGGAAUCACUGGGCGUAAAGGGAGCGUAGGCGGGUUCUUAAGUAAGGUGUUUAAUCCCGGGGCCCAACCCCGGACCGGCACUUUAAACUGGGAAUCUUGAAUAGUGGAGAGGUCGGUGGAAUUGGGGGUGUAGCGGUGGAAUGCGUAGAGAUCCCCAAGAACACCAGUUGCGAAGGCGGCCGACUGGACACAUAUUGACGCUGAGGCUCGAAAGCAUGGGGAGCAACAGG